GGAGAUAUCUCUCUCUCGCUCUCUCUUUCCCCAAAGCCGCGGCCGGGGAGAAAUGCUCUGUCCCCUGCCUUGCCCCUCGCCGCUCGGCAGUAAAUCGCAGAAACCACCCCGGCUCCAGGUGGAAGAAACCAGCCGCGGACACUGCGCUCCCACACUUCGCCGGGCGGAGAGAGAGGGGAAGAAUUAUUUACGCUUUGUUUGUAUUAUUUGCUGUUUGCUAGCUCUCGCCUAGCCCCACCCCGCCAUCUGCUUUCAGAGCUGUGAAGAGAAAAAUGGAUUUAACAAGCCUUUCUGGUGCGUUUGCCCCUCUGCGGUCAGCGCUUUCAAGUGGAGCUCCUCGAGCUCGUGGGCUUUCGGGGUGGAGUUGCCACGGAAGCCACCCCAGGAGCUCCUCUCUGCUGCAAAUACACAGUUUUAAUGAAGUCCAUAGGUAGAAGAGAGCUCGUCUUCUUGAAGGACAGCUCCAGAAUCCCAGGGGAAGAGCACCCGUGGUGGGAGCACCUCUUGCAGCCCCUCUGCUCCCCCCUUUUUCUGCUCCCCCUCCGGGCGCUGAAGCCUCACGCGGCCGAGAGGAGAAAUCGGCCAAGCAACUGUGGGAAAACUGAAACAAAAUAUUUGGCAAAUCAAUGCACAAGAUAAAUAAACCAUGCGACUGACAAAAGUAAAUAAAUCACUGGGGUUUGUCCGGGCUCUUUACAAGACAGCUAUUGUAAACCUGGGGCUUGCAAAAACUUCAUUGAGCCAAUCUUACGACUGAGGUAUCACAUUCAGGCUCUGAAAUAGCAAGAGAUCUUGGAAAACUGGCAGGGACUCAAUGCCAUGUUUGCUGCCUGACACCUCGGCGUGCAUUUGCAUUGUAUUUCCCCGGUUUUCUUGCAGGAGGGGCCUCGAGCAGCGAGGGAGAGGAGAACAAAGCAAAGCAAAGCGCCGCGAUGCUCCCAGUCCGGUGGUUACAGAGGCCAGGCGGUUUUGCCAAAACCCCUGGUGUGCCAAGCCCACUGCUGGCACCAGAUGGAUGAGCCAACUCUGACCUUUAUUCACCUGUUUAGCUUCCAGCCCCGGUGAUGUCCACGCAUUUUCUCAGGCAUUUGAAGUUAAGAGCCUGGCUACGGCUCUGCCUGAUCGGGGCUUCUCCCUCCAGCAGCAGCAGCUGUCGCAUCGGAGACAGGACUGUAAUUUUUCAGUGUCCUUUGAAGAUUUUUCCAAUUUUAACAACUCGCGGCACAGGCAAACGAGCUGCUUUUUGGCUGGGCUGAGUAAUUCCGCAAAGGUCUCUCAUUUAUUGCAAGUUAUUGCCUCCCCGGGAUGACUGUACAGACGCUCCUGCUGCACUCAGCAUUUUUACGCCGGCAUCUCUCUGCUGGUUGACCCCGGAGCAUUUCCCUUCCCAGAUAUUCUUUAUCACAGCUCUCAGCCAAGACUUUAUUCUUUGGCGGGGCCCCGGUGGCUGCAGGGCAGGUGCUUGGCGCUGCUGCAGGUGCCUCGAUUGUGCGCCGGGGUGCGCACGGUGCAGCAGCCCCGGGGACCCAAAAUCCGUGGGGAAACGCAUCGGCAGCUCCUGGCUCUACCUCUCACCAGUGGGACAGUGCUCACCCGAGCAGGAAACCUUCAAGAUCUGAGGCCAAGCCUUCAAAAAGCAAAUAAAAUUGCUGCACGAGCACCCUGAGCAAAAGCAGAGCCCCAACAUUAACCAAGGGGAGCGAGGGGCCCCGAUCCUGCUGGGGCUGGCCCCCAUUUCCCUGCUCUUUCCCCCCGUGCUCCACCAGCUGGUUUUCCUGCUCUGAAGCUCUCCAUCUCUGAUAAGCUUUAAGACAUGUUUUAAUGUGUGUUUUUCUCCCCCCCCACCCCCCUUUUCUCUUUCAAGUUAAUCCCUCUCGGUGGUUCCUGACAUUGUCAAAUGGCUUUUGUGUCCUGUCAGAAACCCUCUUGAUGUAGCUACGGAGCAGCUGCUAACAAGUUGCCCCUGGGAUCCCACAUCCACGAGGCUGUCUGCCCGGAUAAUGAUUUUCUAAUAAGUAAAUCUAUUAAUGAGGGCUGGGGGGGGGGAGCGGAGCAGUGUCGGGCACCCCUGGCCCGGUGAGAUUUGGGUGCCGUGGGGGCUGCAGCAUCACCGGAGAGGCUCAGGGCUGCCUCGUGCUGGGAAGGGUACCGAUCCCAGAUUUGUUCUCCAAGGAGGGAACCCAAGCAGCCGGUCCCCUCCUCACCACAUCAGGACGUCGGCUAUUCCACAGCUGCUCUUUGGGUUUGUCCCAAGGCUUGGGAGCUACUGGGAUCCACGCUUUUCUCAGCAGCACAGCCCUAAAUCUUUGACAUUUACGGGUGUUGACCCAUAAAUGCUGUGCCCCCCCCGCCCAUGCCGUGCCCUGCAGGAUUUGCAGCGAGCUCGGCACCGCUGCAAUCGAGGAAAAGACAUCGAAGGUGCUGGGGCUGGGAAUGGAGAGCAGGGUGAGGAGAUCCCCGGUCCCUGCUGCUUCUUUUUUGGUUAAGGAUUUUGUUUUUUGAUGCAGGAGCAGCCUGCUGGCUCUGUGCUUCCCCAGGCUCACAAGGAUGGGUUGGAAAAGCAGCUGAGCACCGUGCACACAGGUGGCAUCGCAACCGAUUUUCGGUGGCCAUGAGUUCGGGGGCUUCACCCAGCAAGCUCCGAGCCGGGAGGUGAAAGUAUCCAGUGAACCACAGUGACUCUUUUAAUUGAAAAGGGGGGGUGGAAAAACCACGCAGCAGAAAGCAAAUCCGGUGUGAACUUCGGGGCAAAUGAUCCUCCAUUAUCAAAUCCCAUCUUAAAAAGUGCACGGGGCUAAUUGAAUUACGCUCAGCUGGAUUUCUGGGUAGCCAUGAAGGCCUCUUAAUGUGGAUUGAUGGCAUAAAUCUGUGCUCCAUUGAGGAAAAAAAAAAAAAAAAAGUGAACGCUGGCCCCUGACAUCUAUCUUUCUUUCCAGAAAUCCCAUCUAACUGGACGUCUCCCUAGGCCACUUCCCAGAGAAAGAUGUCUCUAUCCAUUACCCCCGACACGCAGCAGCGAAAGGAAGCGAGGGCCGCUCACAUCUAAUUACUCCCACUCCCGGAUUUAUUACGAUCAUGCCAGGAUUAAUUGGGAAAGUAAAAAUGCUUCGUUGGGUGAUCAAUCUCCUCCGAGUUACUUACCUUGUCACUCGCUAAUAACUGUAAAAUAAAAAUGCCCCUCUCCGCUGCA